GUCCCAGUAGGGCAAUGGAUAGCUCGUUCGUCUUCUACUCCGAAAUCGUGGGUUCGAAUCCCACCUGGGAUG